rnacentral:snRNA from 1 species
ACUGCUUCUUGGCAUUUUGGCUAAGAUCAAGUGUAGUAUCUGUUCUUAUGAGUUUAAAGUUAACUAAAGUAAUGAAUUAUUGCAAAAUCAACAAAACGCUGGUUGAUGAGGCAAUGACAGAGCUCUU